UUUGGGUUUUGGCAGAAGCACACCGAGAACCUGUAACGAGAGAUAUUACUACGUUCAGGACCCAGCGGCGCCGCCACUGAUUUUAGAGCCUGCCAUUACUGACAUAGACUCAAUACCAAGCUAAGCUUGAGGGUUGAAAUGACGCUCGAACAGGCAUGCCCCCCGGAAUACCAAGGGGCGCAAUGUGCGUUCAAAGAUUCGAUGAUUCACUGAAUUCUGCAAUUCACAUUACUUAUCGCAUUUCGCUGCGUUCUUCAUCGAUGCCAGAACCAAGAGAUCCGUUGUUGAAAGUUUUAACUAUUAUAUAGUACUCAGACGACAUUAAUAAAAAGAGUUUUGGUAUUCUCUGGCGAGCAUACAAGGCCCGAAGGCAGCUCGCCAAAGCAACAAAGUAAUAAUACACAAGGGUGGGAGGUCUACCCUUUCGGGCAUGAACUCUGUAAUGAUCCUUCCGCAG
rnacentral:misc_RNA from 1 species